GAUGAACGCUGGCGGCGUGCCUAAUACAUGCAAGUCGAGCGAACGGACGAGAAGCUUGCUUCUCUGAUGUUAGCGGCGGACGGGUGAGUAACACGUGGAUCACCUACCUAUAAGACUGGGAUAAUUUCGGGAAACCGGAGCUAAUACCGGAUGAUAUCUUGAACCGCAUGGUUCAAAAGUGAAAGACGGUCUUGCUGUCACUUAUAGAUGGAUCCGCGCUGCAUUAGCUAGUUGGUAAGGUAACGGCUUACCAAGGCAACGAUGCAUAGCCGACCUGAGAGGGUGAUCGGCCACACUGGAACUGAGACGCGGUCCAGGCUACUACGGGAGGCAGCAGUAGGGAAUCUUCCGCAAUGGGCGAGAGCCUGACGGAGCAACGGCGAGUGAGUGAUGAAGGUCUUCGGAUCGUAAAACUCUGUUAUUAGGGAAGAACAUAUGUGUAAGUAACUGUGCACAGCUUGACGGUACCUAAUCAGAAAGCCACGGCUAACUACGUG
rnacentral:rRNA from 1 species